CGGGCACUUUGUUGACAUAUCCAAUAUAGGAGUGCCCAUCUCUCAUCUCUGACAGAGAUAACUGUGGGUUUGAACCUUUUACCAGGCACUCCCAGAGAAAGCACAGCCUGAUGCACUCACUGGGAACUUUGUGAGUCUGGAGUCUCCAUCACCAAUUCCCUGCAGUGUUCCUCCUGGGACUACUAUGAUGCUUCAACCUGCACCUGUUUGGAGUUCAUUGGGGUCUGGAGUCUGUCUUCUGUUUAGGCAGUCUGCCAUGUCAAGAUGAAGUCAAUGUCUCCUUGCCACCCACUGGCUGUCAGAACUCAUUGAAGUGGAUGAUGAACACACACAUUUUACUUUAUCUGAGAAACGCAUGGCCACAGAAGUAGUUGCUGAUGCUCUGAUGAAGAGUGGAAGGGCCAUGUGGUCCCAUCAGUGGUGGGAAUAACAAGCAAG
rnacentral:lncRNA from 1 species